rnacentral:rRNA from 1 species
GAUGAACGCUGGCGGCGUGCUUAACACAUGCAAGUCGAACGAUGAAGCCCAGCUUGCUGGGUGGAUUAGUGGCGAACGGGUGAGUAACACGUGAGUAACCUGCCCUUAACUCUGGGAUAAGCCUGGGAAACUGGGUCUAAUACCGGAUAGGAGCGUCCACCGCAUGGUGGGUGUUGGAAAGAUUUAUCGGUUUUGGAUGGACUCGCGGCCUAUCAGCUUGUUGGUGAGGUAAUGGCUCACCAAGGCGACGACGGGUAGCCGGCCUGAGAGGGUGACCGGCCACACGGGGACUGAGACCGGGCCAGGCCCCCUAGGGGGGGCGGGGGGGGGGAAUAGUGACAAAGGGGCGCAGCCCGGAGGCAGCGCCCCGGCGGGGGGGAGGAGGGCCUUCGGGUUGAAACCCUUUUCCGGUGGGAAAGAAGCGAAAGGGAGGGACCCUGAAAAAGAAGCCCGGCCAAACUCCGGG